AUUGAACGCUGGCGGCAGGCCUAACACAUGCAAGUCGAACGAGUGGCGGACGGGUGAGUAAUGUAUGGGAAACUGCCUGGUGGAGGGGGAUAACUACUGGAAAGGGUAGCUAAUACCGCAUACCAUCAGAUGUGCCGAGAUGGGAUUAGCUAGUAGGUGGGGUAAUGGCUCACCUAGGCGACGAUCCCUAGCUGGUCUGAGAGGAUGACCAGCCCCACUGGAACUGAGACACGGCCCCGACUCCUACGGGAGGCAGCAGUGGGGAAUAUUGGACAAUGGGCGCAAUCCUGAUGCAGCCAUGCCGCGUGUAUGAUGAAGGCCUUCGGGUUGUAAAGUACUUUCAGCGGGGAGGCGUUACCCGCAGAAUAAGCACCGGCUAACUCCGUGCCAGCAGCCGCGGUAAUAC
rnacentral:rRNA from 1 species